CACCUACGGGGCGUAGCAGUGGGGAAUAUUGCACAAUGGGGGAAACCCUGAUGAAGCGACGCCGCGUGAGUGAAGAAGUAUUUCGGUAUGUAAAGCUCUAUCAGCAGGGAAGAAAAUGACGGUACCUGACUAAGAAGCCCCGGCUAACUACGUGCCAGCAGCCGCGGUAAUACGUAGGGGGCAAGCGUUAUCCGGAUUUCCUGGGUGUAAAGGGAGCGUAGACGGCAGCGCAAGUCUGAAGUGAAAUCCCAGGGCUUAACCAUGGAACUGCAUUGGAAACUGUGCAGCGGGAGUGAAG
rnacentral:rRNA from 1 species